UAAAGGUUUCAUUAAUCCAUUCCAAUGAAUUCUACCCAAUUUUCAAUCCAUUCUUCCCAAGUUCUCGUCCACUUCCACUCCUUCCUUCUCCAUCGGCCUCGACGCGAAGUUGAGCUUCUCAGGGACGUCUCGAUCUACUGCUCACUGCUCAGGGACGAAUCGAUUCUACAUUUGACAUUUCCCCCGCCAUCGGCCUCCAACGUUCGAGCAUCGAGCCCUAGAUGCAAGUCACGCACUCACGCAGCCGGUAGCACCUUCGAGCCCUAGAACACGACAGCCAGCAGCAGAGCUUGGAGUCCAUAUUUCCAUCGGCAAUUCGACAAUAGAAGAAGAAGGUGAAGCCCCCUGAUUUGUGUUUUGUGUAUUGUUGCAAUUUUUUCUAUUAUUUAACUUUUUUGAUUUGUGUUUUGACAUUGUUGUAAUUUUUUCAUUUUAACAUAUGAAAUUAGUCUUGAAUUGCUAAAUGAAUGCAUUCUGUAUUUGAUGAAGCCCUCGAGUUCAAUUUGGCGAUUCCUGUCCUGUCCACUGUUGACUGAUUCUUGAAGCCUGGCUGUUCAAGUCUCGGUUUAUUCUGAAAUAUAUAGGUAAACAAAUGUAAAUCAUAUUGGUCUCUCAUUUAAUAGUUACUUACAAUCUUUGAAUUAGGUUUAUUUUUUCUGAAAUAGGCUCUAGUUUUUGAAUUAACCAAUGUGUACCAGUUGGAAAUGAAUCUGUUUUGUGCCUCUUCGGUGCUAAUUUGAGGCCAAUAACAAGGCCAAUUAACCAAUUGCUUGUAGGCUAAUACAAGAAAUUUUGAAGAUGUUCCAGGUAGAGGUCACUGUAGGAAAAAAAAUAUAAGAGUAAUGUUUUUUCACAAAAUGUAGCACGUUUUAACUAAAAAUGAUAUAAAGGAGGCUCGUAAUUCUUGAAUAUGUAUUAUAUGUCAGAGAGUUGUGUUCAUUUCCAAAUGGAUGGACACAUUUUUUGUUGAACACGGGGUCUGCAUUGGUAAAGCAAAGAGUUAACAAUUGAAGUCACUUUAUGAAUAUGCUUUUUGCAUUUUAGAAGUAAAUCGAUAAAGCCCAGAACUAAAUUAUUGUUUUACCUCUAAUCCUGAUGAUGCGACGAGCCUUCGGUCGUACUCCGGACCUUCCUCUCUUGCCAACCUCCCUCUUGGUUUCAGCCUUUCUCGCCUGUACUGUCGCUCAGGUUCUCAAGCCCUUCACUACCUGGUACUCUUUCUUUCCUCUUGAUCUUUUUGUUUACUUUAUCAUAAAAUAAAUGUUGAAUAUUUAUGCGUGGGUAGGUCAAUUUUAUCAAUGGAUCUGUGUUGACUAAAUUGUGAGUCUUCACAUACAAUUGCGUCUUUGAUUUUACCUCAUUUGAUCAUAUUUUGUGUUGUUGGGCCCCUAUUUGAAGAAGUUUUGCUAUAGAUUAGCGUGUGUAAACAUUGAAGGCUGCUCAUUUUCACCACCACACUUGCUUUGAGUUUUCUGGAGAAUAGAGUUGCGUGUGUCUAUGUGGGUUUGUGAAAUCAAGAAAUCAAAAUUAAGUAUAUGUUUAAUAUUGGAGGUCAUGGAUACAGAGAUGUUAAGACUAUGAUUCCAUAAUACCAAGUGAUAUUGCAUUGGAGGUUGUGGUGCCUUGUAGUCAAAUAUGCCAGGUUUUGAAGCUGUAAUGGUGUCAUGGAGCUAUUGAAGUUUAAUGACUGUUAAAUAGCAUAAGUACACUUGUAAAUAACCGUGUUUCUAUGGUUCAUAGUAUGUUUCAUAAACUGCAUAUGAAUGCAUAACCAUAUAGUCUUCUAUGUUUUCUUAUUCAUCUUUACACCAUUUAUUGUACAGUAGCUUAGGCACUUGUCUUGUUGAGCAGGUCAGGAUGAUUAUAAUAGAUUAAGACCAUUGAGCUAUCGUGGGGUUGAUGUCUUUAUUCUUGCAUUUUCUCUCAUUAGCAAGACCAGCUACGAAAACAUCUCCAAAUUCUGUAAGAGUGGCUUUACCACUUUGGUAUGAAUAUUGCCCUUUGUUGCAUUCCUUUCUCUGCAACAACAAGAGAAAAGGCUCAAAUAGCAUAAUGCUUAUAGUUUUUUGUACGCUUAUCUUUUGAUGUUUAGCGGAUUCUUGAAUUGAGGCAUUACGCUCCUAGAGUUCCAGUAAUUCUUGUUGGAACAAAGCUUGGUUAGGAUUUCCUCUUUCCCUUUCUCUUGUUAUGAUGUUAUAAUACUUUGCUGCUUUGUUCUUUUAUAUGAGAAAUAGUGGUAAUCUAAAUAUGCAAGCAACUAGAAAUAGCUCCCAGUUUUCCUUCUUGGAGUUGUAGUCUGCAAGUGCAUUAGGUAGUGAGGAGUAUUUAUCUUCAUGACUUUGUCCAACUAUUCUUUUUCUUUUAUGGAAUUUCAUCACCUUGAACAUCAUGUGAACUUGCUAUUUUUUUAUAAAUUUUGUGAUAGUUCUCUGUAUAAGCUAUCUUCUUUAAUGUAGCUAUACAGGCCUUAUGAUUACGUUUAAUUUUUUCCUCAGUUGCUAUAUAUUGCACAAAUUGUCUGGAUAGGUUGUCCCUCGCUUUUGGAAGUAUUAUUAUAAUUUUUUACUUGUUAUUCCUUUUCUUUUCCCCCCAUUUCGCCAUCGUACUCAUUUGUGUGAGGUUUUUCGGGUCCUGUGCAUUUAACUAAGUGUGGCUUUGCUGCCAUGAUUGUCCAGGUUAUUACCAUAAUUCCUUGCUUUGCCAAGUUUUCUGUUCGGGCAAUCUAUGGGGGGAUCAGUGGCUCUGAAGGUGCACCUGAAACAAUCUGAGUGUGUUAUUGCAGUUUGAGCAGAGUGUGAUAACCAGAUGUUGCUAGAUGUAUAAGCUGUAUUAAAAUUUUAUUCUUAAUUUUGUUUCAUUUUGAAACUUUUUUUUUAUUUAGUUUGUGUUGUAUCACAUUCUAAUGUUCAAGUGUAUGGAUCAAAAAAUUUGUAAUUAAAUUAUCAAGUUUUAUGCAAUUUCAAAAUUUGUUCAGAAUGAAUCA
rnacentral:lncRNA from 1 species